rnacentral:rRNA from 1 species
UACGACUACAUAUCAGGCAUAUCAAUAAGCGGAGGAAAAGAAACUAACUAGGAUUCCCUUAGUAACGGCGAGUGAAGCGGGAAGAGCUCAAAUUUGAAAUCUUCAAGGUUUUACCUUGACGAAUUGUAGUUUAGAGAAGUGUUUUCUGUUGGAGUUUUGGUAAAAGUUCUUUGGAAUAGGACAUCAUAGAGGGUGAGAAUCCCGUAUUUGACCAUUAUUUCCAGCUUUGUGAUACACUUUCGAAGAGUCGGAUUGUUUGGGAAUGCAGUCCAAAAUGGGUGGUAAAUUUCAUCUAAAGCUAAAUAUUGGCGAGAGACCGAUAGCGAACGAGUACCGUGAGGGAAAGAUGAAAAGAACUUUGAAAAGAGAGUUAAACAGUACGUGAAAUUGUCAAAAGGGAAGCGUUUGACACCAGUGUUGUUUUCUCGAAAAUCAAUUAAAAAUAGUUGGAUUUUGUGUUGUAUUGACCUUAACAGCUUGCUUCACUCUUUUCCAGCUUUUUUUAAUGCACUUUUCGUUUAACAAGUCAACAUCAAUUUCUUUUGUUGUAAAAGGGUCAUUGGAAGGUGGCUUUCUCUUCGGAGAAAGUGUUUAUAGCCUUUGAUCUCUGCAAUCGGAGAGACUGAGGUCUGCAGCGUAGAUCCUUCGGGGUUAGAUACAUUUGUGCUAAGCUACAGCUUUUCAUAGACAACUUGUUGACUAUGUUUAGUCCUGUGACUUACCCGCUUAUGCUAUUUUACCUACGCUUAGGAUGUUGAGCGCAUGUCUCUCUCU